GUUAGAGUGUAGAGGUGGCAGGGUAGCCUAGUGGUUAGAGUGUAGAGGUGGCAGGGUGGCCUAGUGGUUAGAGUGUAGAGGUGGCAGGUAGCCUAGUGGUUAGAGUGUAGAGGCGGCAGGGUGGCCUAGUGGUUAGAGUGUAGAGGUGGCAGGGUGGCCUAGUGGUUAGAGUGUAGAGGUGGCAGGGUGGCCUAGUGGUUAGAGUGUAGAGGUGGCAGGGUGGCCUAGUGGUUAGAGUGUAGAGGUGGCAGGGUGGCCUAGUGGUUAGAGUGUAGAGGUGGCAGGGUGGCCUAGUGGUUAGAGUGUAGAGGUGGCAGGGUAGCCUAGUGGUUAGAGUGUAGAGGUGGCAGGGUAGCCUAGUGGUUAGAAUGUAGAGGUGGCAGGUAGCCUAGUGGUUAGAGUGUAGAGGUGGCAGGGUAGCCUAGUGGUUAGAGUGUAGAGGUGGCAGGGUGGCCUAGUGGUUAGAGUGUAGAGGUGGCAGGGUGGCCUAGUGGUUAGAGUGUAGAGGUGGCAGGGUGGCCUAGUGGUUAGAGUGUAGAGGUGGCAGGUAGCCUAGUGGUUAGAGUGUAGAGGAGGCAGGUAGCCUAGUGGUUAGAGUGUAGAGGAGGCAGGUAGCCUAGUGGUUAGAGUGUAGAGGUGGCAGGUAGCCUAGUGGUUAGAGUGUAGAGGAGGCAGGUAGCCUAGUGGUUAGAGUGUAGAGGUGGCAGGGUAGCCUAGUGGUUAGAGUGUAGAGGUGGCAGGGUAGCCUAGUGGUUAGAGUGUAGAGGGGGCAGGUAGCCUAGUGGUUAGAGUGUAGAGGUGGCAGGGUAGCCUAGUGGUUAGAGUGUAGAGGGGGCAGGUAGCCUAGUGGUUAGAGUGUAGAGGUGGCAGGGUAGCCUAGUGGUUAGAGUGUAGAGGGGGCAGGUAGCCUAGUGGUUAGAGUGUAGAGGGGGCAGGUAGCCUAGUGGUUAGAGUGUAGAGGUGGCAGGUAGCCUAGUGGUUAGAGUGUAGAGGUGGCAGGUAGCCUAGUGGUUAGAGUGUAGAGGAGGCAGGUAGUCUAGUGGUUAGAGUGUAGAGGAGGCAGGUAGUCUAGUGGUUAGAGUGUAGAGGAGGCAGGUAGCCUAGUGGUUAGAGUGUAGAGGUGGCAGGUAGCCUAGUGGUUAGAGUGUAGAGGAGGCAGGUAGCCUAGUGGUUAGAGUGUAGAGGUGGCAGGGUGGCCUAGUGGUUAGAGUGUAGAGGUGGCAGGUAGCCUAGUGGUUAGAGUGUAGAGGGGGCAGGUAGCCUAGUGGUUAGAGUGUAGAGGUGGCAGGUAGCCUAGUGGUUCGAGUGUAGAGGAGGCAGGUAGCCUAGUGGUUAGAGUGUAGAGGAGGCAGGUAGCCUAGUGGUUAGAGUGUAGAGGUGGCAGGUAGCCUAGUGGUUAGAGUGUAGAGGGGGCAGGUAGCCUAGUGGUUAGAGUGUAGAGGUGGCAGGGUAGCCUAGUGGUUAGAGUGUAGAGGGGGCAGGUAGCCUAGUGGUUAGAGUGUAGAGGUGGCAGGUAGCCUAGUGGUUAGAGUGUAGAGGAGGCAGGUAGCCUAGUGGUUAGAGUGUAGAGGUGGCAGGUAGCCUAGUGGUUAGAGUGUAGAGGAGGCAGGUAGCCUAGUGGUUAGAGUGUAGAGGUGGCAGGUAGCCUAGUGGUUAGAGUGUAGAGGAGGCAGGUAGCCUAGUGGUUAGAGUGUAGAGGUGGCAGGGUGGCCUAGUGGUUAGAGUGUAGAGGUGGCAGGUAGCCUAGUGGUUAGAGUGUAGAGGGGGCAGGUAGCCUAGUGGUUAGAGUGUAGAGGUGGCAGGUAGCCUAGUGGUUCGAGUGUAGAGGAGGCAGGUAGCCUAGUGGUUAGAGUGUAGAGGAGGCAGGUAGCCUAGUGGUUAGAGUGUAGAGGUGGCAGGUAGCCUAGUGGUUAGAGUGUAGAGGGGGCAGGUAGCCUAGUGGUUAGAGUGUAGAGGU